rnacentral:rRNA from 1 species
AUGAACGCUGGCGGCGUGCUUAACACAUGCAAGUCGAACGGUGAAGGCGGAGCUUGCUCUGCUGGAUCAGUGGCGAACGGGUGAGUAACACGUGAGCAAUCUGCCCCUGACUCUGGGAUAAGCGCUGGAAACGGCGUCUAAUACUGGAUACGAGCUGCAAGGCAUCUUCAGCAGCUGGAAAGAAUUUCGGUCAGGGAUGAGCUCGCGGCCUAUCAGCUUGUUGGUGAGGUAAUGGCUCACCAAGGCGUCGACGGGUAGCCGGCCUGAGAGGGUGACCGGCCACACUGGGACUGAGACACGGCCCAGACUCCUACGGGAGGCAGCAGUGGGGAAUAUUGCACAAUGGGCGAAAGCCUGAUGCAGCAACGCCGCGUGAGGGACGACGGCCUUCGGGUUGUAAACCUCUUUUAGCAGGGAAGAAGCGAAAGUGACGGUACCUGCAGAAAAAGCGCCGGCUAACUACGUG